UACGGGGGGGGCAAGCGUUGUUCGGAAUUACUGGGCGUAAAGGGCGCGUAGGCGGCCUGCUAAGUCGGACGUGAAAUCCCUCGGCUCAACCAGGGAACUGCGUCCGAUACUGGUGGGCUCGAAUCCGGGAGAGGGAUGUGGAAUUCCAGGUGUAGCGGUGAAAUGCGUAGAUAUCUGGAGGAACACCGGUGGCGAAGGCGGCAUCCUGGACCGGUAUUGACGCUGAUGCGCGAAAGCCAGGGGAGCAAACGGG
rnacentral:rRNA from 1 species